AUUGAACGCUGGCGGCAGGCUUAGUACAUGCAAGUCGAGGGGCAGCAUGAUUGUAGCAAUACAAUUGAUGGCGACCGGCAAACGGGUGCGGAACACGUACACAACCUUCCAACAAGUGGGGGAUAGCCCAGAGAAAUUUGGAUUAAUACCCCGUAACAUAGCGAUGUGGCAUCACAUUGCUAUUAUAGAUUUUUCGCUUGUUGAUGGGUGUGCGGCUGAUUAGAUAGUUGGCGGGGUAACGGCCCACCAAGUCUACGAUCAGUAGCUGAUGUGAGAGCAUGAUCAGCCACACGGGCACUGAGACACGGGCCCGACUCCUACGGGAGGCAGCAGUAAGGAAUAUUGGACAAUGGACGCAAGUCUGAUCCAGCCAUGCCGCGUGAAGGAUUAAGGUCCUCUGGAUUGUAAACUUCUUUUAUAAGGGACGAAAAAAGGCUUUUCUAAGUCGUCUGACGGUACCUUAUGAAUAAGCACCGGCUAACUCCGUGCCAGCAGCCGCCGCAGUAA
rnacentral:rRNA from 1 species